AUGCCCUCAAUCUCCUGCUGCUUUUCUUCUUCUUCUAUCCCCAAAACUGCUGCUGCUCCCUCUCUCCACGUCCCUGCUGAUGCUCCUCACGCGUGCCAUGUAGCAGGUUUAUCUAAUCCUCUUGAUGACAUGCGUCCGUAUAAUUUCUUUGCUACUACCUUGCAUUACAUGAUACCAUCACUUAAGAUUGAUUUGAAAACUAAUUUGCUUGGAUAUGAUGAUACAUACACUGUUGGUGGCAUUGCUCUCAUUCCUGAUAAUGACACUUAUUUUCCUUAUGCUAGUCCUAUGCUUAAUGAAACAUAUCAUUCCCAUGCUAGUCUUGAGCUUAAUGAUAAAUUUCAUCCUCAUGUUAGUGUCUACCUUGCUGAUUUCUACCAUCCUAAACAUGUGCUUUAUAGCUAUGCUUAUGUAAUUGGAUACUCGAUUGAUGACUUGGAGGGCAUUAUCCCUAGCACUUGCAUUGUCUCUUUUGUUGAGUGCCUUUUCAGGUUUAUGCUUUUGCACGGUUCACUACAUGCUGACCAGGUUCAAGGUGACAUUCCUUGGGACCCCGGUGGAUUCACGGAAUGGUGA
rnacentral:rRNA from 1 species